UCUACCCCUCAGCCCCACUCUCUUAGGCCUCCAUGCCCCUCCUCCCCUUGACCUCGGUUCCCUGGUUUCUCAAGGAGGUAGUGUGUGUGUGUGAGUGUGAGUGUGUGCAUGUGCAUGCAUUCAGGAGUGUGUGCAGGAGCGAAAUGUUCAGGACUGAGGAGGAGCUGGGCUGGUGGAAAUGGGCUUGCAAACCUUCCUGAAACACUCCUGGCCUACAGCUGCCAUGCUCCAGUGCAGACAGACAAUCAGACGGGCCGUGGACAGACUGGACAAUGCCCACCACACUGAGGAGGCCAUCUGCUCCCGGGGCCUCGGACGCCAGUGCAGAGCUGAUCUCGGCUGGGGACGCCCCCUCCGCAGACACCCCGGACAGAGCGUUUACCCUGCUCUCCGGCCAACCCUUGGGCCAGCUGAGUCGACUCGUAAAAUUAGCCCUUCCACAUGCCAGCCGUCAGCCCUGCUUCACAGAUGAAAACGUGAAGGCGCAGAACGGUGAAGUGACCUGCCCGGGCCCGCUCAGCUGGCUGAUGGUGGACCCAGGACAGCGCCUCCUCCUGGACAUUUGUUUUUGUCCUGGGCAUUGAAGCAAA